rnacentral:misc_RNA from 1 species
GAUGAAGAACGCAGCGAAAUGCGAUACGUAAUGUGAAUUGCAAAUUCAGUGAAUCAUCGAGUCUUUGAACGCACAUUGCGCCCCCUGGUAUUCCGGGGGGCAUGCCUGUUCGAGCGUCAUUACAACCCUCAAGCUCUGCUUGGUAUUGGGCCCCGCCAGUUCUGGCGGGCCCUAAAGUCAGUGGCGGUGCCUUCCGGCUCCGAGCGUAGUAAUUCUUCUCGCUCUGGAGACCCGGUUGUGUGCUUGCCAACAACCCCCAAUUUUUUAAGGUUGACCUCGGAUCAGGUAGGGAUACCCGCUGAACUUAAGCAUAUCAAUAGCGGAGGA